ACGGGAGGCAGCAGUGGGGAAUAUUGCACAAUGGGGGAAACCCUGAUGCAGCAACGCCGCGUGAGUGAAGAAGUAUUUCGGUAUGUAAAGCUCUAUCAGCAGGGAAGAAAAUGACGGUACCUGAGUAAGAAGCCCCGGCUAACUACGUGCCAGCAGCCGCGGUAAUACGUAGGGGGCAAGCGUUAUCCGGAUUUACUGGGUGUAAAGGGAGCGCAGACGGUUAAGCAAGUCUGAAGUGAAAGCCUGGGGCUCAACCCCGGAACUGCUUUGGAAACUGUUUGACUUGAGUGCUGGAGAGGUAAGCGGAAUUCCUAGUGUAGCGGUGAAAUGCGUAGAUAUUAGGAGGAACACCAGUGGCGAAGGCGGCUUACUGGACUGUAACUGACGUUGAGGCUCGAAAGCGUGGGGAGCAAACAGGAUUAGAUACCCUGGUA
rnacentral:rRNA from 1 species